rnacentral:misc_RNA from 1 species
CAACCCUCAGAACCCCUGUAUUUUUUGUACGGGGCGUGCUGGUGUUGGGGCCUUCUGCGGCUGCCGCAGGCCCUGAAUAACAGUGGCGGGCUCCGCUAUACUCCGAGCGCAGUAAUACUUCUCGCUCAGGGCGUGUAGCGGGGAUCUAGCCUUGUCUUCUUACUUUAAAUGG